GCCGAUGUGGCGGAAUAGGCAGACGCAAGGGACUUAAAAUCCCUCGAGGGAAACUUCGUGCUGGUUCAAGUCCAGUCAUCGGCACCA
rnacentral:tRNA from 1 species